GGUACCGUAACUCAGAUGGUAGAGCGAAGGACUGAAAAUCCUUGUGCCAUUGGUUUGAUCCCAGUUGGUACCA
rnacentral:tRNA from 1 species